rnacentral:rRNA from 1 species
AGAGUUUGAUCAUGGCUCAGGACGAACGCUGGCGGCGUGCUUAACACAUGCAAGUCGAACGGAAAGGCCCUUCGGGGUACUCGAGUGGCGAACGGGUGAGUAACACGUGAGCAAUCUGCCCCUAGCUCUGGGAUAGCUCCGGGAAACCGGGAUUAAUACCAGAUAUGAUCACAGCCGACAUCAGCUGUGAUGGAGAGAAUUUCGGCUAGGGAUGAGCUCGCGGCCUAUCAGCUUGUUGGUGGGGUAACGGCCCACCAAGGCGACGACGGGUAGCCGGCCUGAGAGGGCGACCGGCCACACUGGGACUGAGACACGGCCCAGACUCCUACGGGAGGCAGCAGUGGGGAAUAUUGCGCAAUGGGCGAAAGCCUGACGCAGCGACGCCGCGUGCGGGAUGAAGGCCUUCGGGUUGUAAACCGCUUUCAGCAGGGACGAAGCGAAAGUGACGGUACCUGCAGAAGAAGCGCCGGCUAACUACGUGCCAGCAGCCGCGGUAACACGUAGGGCGCAAGCGUUGUCCGGAAUUAUUGGGCGUAAAGAGCUCGUAGGCGGUCUGUUGCGUCCGCUGUGAAAACUCGGGGCUUAACCCCGAGCCUGCAGUGGAUACGGGCAGACUAGAGGUAGGUAGGGGAGAAUGGAAUUCCUGGUGUAGCGGUGAAAUGCGCAGAUAUCAGGAGGAACACCGGUGGCGAAGGCGGUUCUCUGGGCCUUACCUGACGCUGAGGAGCGAAAGCGUGGGGAGCGAACAGGAUUAGAUACCCCCGUAGUCC